AUGGUGAAGAGCAUGAAGAAUCACAAGCUCAAUGCCUUAAAGCCAUCCUCAGAAGGGGUUCCUGUCCCCUCAUUCGCCUCCAGGCAACAGAUGCAGCAGCCAGAUUACCAGGAGGUUGGAGGAGCUGGAGCCCAGUCCCUCUGGGCACUGGAGAGCGAUGGAGACACAGGCCACCUGACCCUGUCUUCUACUCCAGAAGAGCGUACACCCGUGAAUGCGAGCCUCAUGUUGAGUGUGUCCUCAGACCCCUCUCCUCAAAGCUGGGCCCUCGGGCCAGCAGGCUCCACCUGGUCAGGGAGCUUGUUGGAAUCGCAGGGUCUCAGGGCCCCACCCAGAGAUCCCGAGUCAGAAUCUGCCUUUUAACAGCCUCUCAGGCGGCGUGUGUGCACAGUCACAGCCAAGGUUUGUUCUGGAUCUCAUCACCGUGAUAGACAAGCUCCCCUCUGACCUCCAACUUUUCUCCGCCGUUUAGGGAAGCCUGAGAACCCAGUCCCCCCGAAAACACACCCUUUGAAGUAGAGCCCACUUUUCCUAUUUGGCCCAGAGGGAAGUGGGUAGGUAUCUUCUUGCCUCUUAGUUCUUCUUCCUUAAAACCCUCGGCUCCCAGAAGCCCCCGCAGUGUCAGGCCUGGGUCUGGUCAAGCUAACAAGUUGGCUUGGUUUUUUGUUUUUUUUUAAAAUUUAUUUUAUUUUUAUUAUUUUAAAAAUUCUUUUAUCCCCCCUCUUGCGGCUUUUUGUGUGCUGCCCGCUCUCUGUGUCCAUCUGCAGAGCAUUCUUCUGUGUCUGUCUUUAUUUUUAUUGAUUUCCCCUCCCCCCCUUGCGGCUUGCUUGCUAUCUGCUCUCUGUGUCCGUUCGCUGUGCGUGCUUCAGCGUUUUUUGCUUGUCUCCCUUUUUGUUGAAUCACCUUACUGAGGCGGCUCUCUGCGGCGCUUGUGGGCUGGGCGGCUCUCCAUGGCGUGUGGGUGAGCCUGCCUUCCCAAGGAGGCCCCGGGACACGAACCCAGGGCCCCCCAUAUGGUAGAGGGCAACCCAACUGAUUGAGCCAUGGCCAC
rnacentral:lncRNA from 1 species